rnacentral:rRNA from 1 species
GACGAACGCUGGCGGCGUGCUUAACACAUGCAAGUCGAACGGAAAGGCCCUGCUUUUGUGGGGUGCUCGAGUGGCGAACGGGUGAGUAACACGUGAGUAACCUGCCCUUGACUUUGGGAUAACUUCAGGAAACUGGGGCUAAUACCGGAUAGGAGCUCCUGCUGCAUGGUGGGGGUUGGAAAGUUUCGGCGGUUGGGGAUGGACUCGCGGCUUAUCAGCUUGUUGGUGGGGUAGUGGCUUACCAAGGCUUUGACGGGUAGCCGGCCUGAGAGGGUGACCGGCCACAUUGGGACUGAGAUACGGCCCAGACUCCUACGGGAGACAGCAGUGGGGAAUAUUGCACAAUGGGCGGAAGCCUGAUGCAGCAACGCCGCGUGCGGGAUGACGGCCUUCGGGUUGUAAACCGCUUUCGCCUGUGACGAAGCGUGAGUGACGGUAAUGGGUAAAGAAACACCGGCUAACUACGU